AAAGAGUCCAAAUUUAUUCUGGACCAUCUAUGCUUGUUAUAAAUUGAGGCGAAUAAUUUGAUUCAGCCUUUUAAGAUCAAUUAAUAAUUUUAUUAAUUACAGCAAGCGAUAGCAAGCAAACAGCGCUGGGUGCAGCUGCGGAGCCUGUGUUCCGCCAAAAGCUGACAACCUUUCCUUCUCUUCAGUCCCUUUUUAUCCUGCAUAAGUGGGGGUGAUGGGUCUCCUUCCACCGUGGUUAUCAGUUCCAGCAACAAUGGGUUUCACAAAUGGGGGUGGUGAGUCUCCUUCCACUGAGGUUAUCAGUUUCAGCAACAAUGGGUUUCCACUGCGUUUAUCAGUUCCAGCCAGUCCUGCAAAAUCUUUCACAAUCUUUGUUUGUGGUUACCAGUCAAGCCUGCAAAUUCCAUGUCCCGACUUCCCCCCCUUUUAUCCUAAUUUCAUACUUUUGAUGAACAAACAAGUCAAUGCAGUUCCUCACAUGCUUAUAUACUAUUUUAGGAAGGCUAGUAAUGUUUUACUACAAUGAUUGGGUUAAUCAUCACAUAAACAAAUGUAUUUCACAAUAUCUCUUUUUUGCAGAAGUCCUGAUGGAAUUUUAUUUUCCAAUAAGUGAGCCUGAUUUAAUCUUCUUGCAAUCUUCAAAGCUAUUUGCUCUUGCCAAGGCAUCCUAAUUGUCAAAUCUCUUAUGCUAACCAGGUCGAAAGUCCAUUAUCGGUCUUGUCUGUCUCAAUACUUUAUCUUUGUUUAAUUGCUUCUUAUCGCCCUAUCAAUUAGGAUUCAAGUCCUCCUUUUAUUGAAAUAAUUGUUUUUAAAAAUGAGAGACAGUGGUGUGCACUUUUUGUAACACAAGAAAACAUUCCAUUAUCUGAAGAUGGAUGAGGAAAUUAGGUAUUGACAGCUAUAUAGAUGCCCAUCUCUAGGCAAAAGGAACACAGAAUUUGUAACUGAACUCUACUUCCCUAUGCUUUGUUACCUCCAGCAUUGAUAAGAGAUCUAAAUUUUGCUGAACACAAGAUGAAACUUUAAUAUUGCCUUUAGAUACUUCAAUAUGCUGAAGAGAUACAAAGUUGGAAAAAACAUGUGAUGAAGGAUAACUGGAAUAGGGCAACUAAGGAUUCUAUGUUUAUAUGCCAUAAAUAGGCUUUUGUCCUAAUCAGUAUUUUUGAUUACUGCAUCUGAGACAAAGGCAUUGAAACAGAGAUUUUUGGAGUUCACUGAAGUUAACAAAAUGAAUUAAUCAUUUAUAUUUUAGCUUGUAGAGUUAUGUAUUAAAUUUUAACCUUUUACUUGAGCAACCUCUGCCAUGGUACAAAGGGCAUAAGAAAAUGCAAAUUUCUGAAGGUUAUUGCACAAAGAGCAAUGUCUCAGAAUGCAAAGAACCCAGUAAAGAAGCUUUCCUGUCUUCAAGCCUAUCAAGACUGACAGACGCACACAGAUAAGCACUAAAAGACCAAAAGCGCACGCGCAGAGAGGAAGAGUUCAAAAGUUCAACCAUGAAGAAGACCAUGAUCUUCAGCCUCAAGAGACCACCAGAGACCCUCACAGGACCACCAUGACAAACCACACAUGCCUAGAAGGGCGUAGACCUAUUUAACAUGAGAGGAAAGGACAGGUGGGGCCGGGUUGAAUAUGCAUUAAAAAGUUGUGCAAUGUAUUACAUAUGGAACACCUUUGUGAAUAAAAUUGUGGGUCAGACUAAGGCUCAGUGCACAAGAUUUUGGAGAACGAUCUCACUUGUGUCGAGUGCUGGCAAUACAUACCCACUUCAUAACUACUCCAAGUUGUGGAGUCUAUUUAUUUAUCUAUUUUGCGUAUUGCUUCAGCAUAGCCUUGGUGAAAAAACAAAGAGAAGGAUUCUGGACACUGGAAAAAUUUUAAAAAUUGAAGAAGGAACAGAUUCAUAACUUGAAUCUGUACAAAAAGGCAUAUAAAAAGGAAUUUUCAAGACAUGGACAAAUGACAGUCACAGAUGCAAGGUUUUUCAGAAUUUAGCUAAAUCAAGACCCUAAGCCUUUUCAAAGUCUUUAAAAAUUAAACAAAAGUGUGAAGACC
ensembl:lncRNA